rnacentral:rRNA from 1 species
CAGUAGCCGCGGGAAUACGUAGGGUGCAAGCGUUAAUCGGAAUUACUGGGCGUAAAGCGAGCGCAGGCGGUUUUAUAAGUCUGAUGUGAAAUCCCCGGGCUCAACCUGGGAACUGCAUUGGAGACUGUAAGGCUAGAGUGUGUCAGAGGGGGGUAGAAUUCCACGUGUAGCAGUGAAAUGCGUAGAUAUGUGGAGGAAUACCGAUGGCGAAGGCAGCCCCCUGGGAUAACACUGACGCUCAUGCACGAAAGCGUGGGGAGCAAACAGGAUUAGAUACCCCUGUAGUCCCUGUCUCUUAUAA